UAUUUGGUUGUUGGAUCCAGAAUUAUUGUAAAACAAAGUCUUAAUCUAUCUAUCUAUCAUAUAUCUAUCUAUCUAUCUAUCAUAUAUCUAUCUAUCUAUCAUAUAUCAAUCUAUCUAUCUAUCAUAUAUCUAUCUAUCUAUCUAUCAUAUAUCUAUCUAUCUAUCUAUCAUAUAUCUAUCUAUCCAUCUAUCUAUCUAUCAUAUAUCUAUCUAUCUAUCUAUCUAUCAUAUAUCUAUCAUAUAUCUAUCAAUCAUAUAUCUAUCUAUCUAUCUAUCAUAUAUCUAUCUAUCAUAUAUCUAUCUAUCUAUCUAUCAUAUAUCUAUCUAUCUAUCUAUCUAUUUAUCAUAUAUCUAUCAAUCUAUCUAUCAUAUAUCUAUCUAUCUAUCUAUCAUAUAUCUAUCUAUCUAUCUAUCAUAUAUCUAUCUAUCUCAGCGACAUCUUCUUUAGCCACGCCCUCUCCUCUUGGUUCCUCAGAGGGUGGUGAUGGUGACAUCAUAGCGACGCCUCCUUUAGCCACGCCCCUUUGUGAACGUCUCAGGGGUGUAACAGAUUCUAUUUAGCACAGAAGCAAAACGUGAGUUGAAGCUCCAUGAGAGGAACGUGAGGACUUCCUGCCGCUGAGCUGAAGCGUGAUCCGUGAGCCAGCGGAGGGUUAACUUCCCCUCCUCCACGAAAACCUGUUUCCUCUCAGACGUUCUGCCCCGAGGCGUCGUGGGCUUUUGCUCCGCCUCUGAAAAGAAGCGUCUGGAUCGUCUGGAUCUUUUGGAUCUUCUGGAUCUUUUGGAUCUUCUGGAUCUGGGUCGGUCCCCACCAUGCUGGUCUCCGGCCUCCUCUGCAGGGUCAGUCUCUGUAGACCUGCAGGACUCCGGAUCUUCACC
ensembl:lncRNA